rnacentral:rRNA from 1 species
UUAUCCGGAUUUAUUGGGUAUAAAGGGUGCGUAGGCGGUUUGAUAAGUAAGAGGUGAAAUACCGGGGCUCAACUCCGGAACUGCCUCUAAUACUGUUGAACUAGAGAGUAGUUGCGGUAGGCGGAAUGUAUGGUGUAGCGGUGAAAUGCUUAGAGAUCAUACAGAACACCGAUUGCGAAGGCAGCUCACCAGACUAUAUCUGACGUUGAGGCACGAAAGCGUGGGGAGCAAACAGGAUUAGAUACCCUGGUAGUCCACGCAGUAAACGAUGAUAACUCGUUGUCGGCGAUACACAGUCGGUGACUAAGCGAAAGCGAUAAGUUAUCCACCUGGGGAGUACGUUCGCAAGAAUGAAACUCAAAGGAAUUGACGGGGGCCCGCACAAGCGGAGGAAUAUGUGGUUUAAUUCGAUGAUACGCGAGGAA